GAUGAACGCUGGCGGCGUGCUUAACACAUGCAAGUCGAACGGAAAGGCCCAAGCUUGCUUGGGUACUCGAGUGGCGAACGGGUGAGUAACACGUGGGUGAUCUGCCCUGCACUUCGGGAUAAGCCUGGGAAACUGGGUCUAAUACCGGAUAGGACGAUGUUUUGGAUGCCAUUGUGGAAAGUUUGUGCGGUGUGGGAUGAGCUCGCGGCCUAUCAGCUUGUUGGUGGGGUAAUGGCCUACCAAGGCGUCGACGGGUAGCCGGCCUGAGAGGGUGUACGGCCACAUUGGGACUGAGAUACGGCCCAGAGUCGUACGGGAGGCAGCAGUGGGGAAUAUUGCACAAUGGGCGCAAGCCUGAGGCAGCGACGCCGCGUGAGGGAUGACGGCCUUCGGGUUGUAAACUCCUAUCGCUAGGGACGAAGCGUUUUUGUGACGGUACCUGGAGAAGAAGCACCGGCUAACUACGUG
rnacentral:rRNA from 1 species